rnacentral:lncRNA from 1 species
AAAAAAAGCAGCUCAAUCCCAAAAAAAAAAUGAAUGUUUUGGUCCAAAUCCCCAGUCCAGUCCCAAAACCUAGUCCAAAUCUAAUAUGUCUCCUAUUCAUUAUCUGUUCUUACCAUCGGCUGUAAAUCAAAUUUUCAAAAUCCAAUUUUCCUCAAUCUCCAAGUCCAACCAAUAAAUGAAAAUCCCAUCGCUAAUCAUUUCUCUUCUUUGUUCGUCUCUUCUCUAUUGUUCCCAGGUAAAGGCAUGUGGGAAUUUUUAACUUUUAUUUUAUUUUAUAUCCCAAAAAAUCAUGUUUAGAUUUUCUAUUUGGUCCCCGGCCCUCCACUAGUUCAAUAAUGUCUUGUUUUUCUUCAAAAUUUCAAGGCGUGGUACUGAGGAAGUUUUGUAUAAAGAGCUAUGGAAGGCUUGUACAGAUCCAUUGGUGGAUAUUUCAAAAAAUGGAGAGAGUUUAUUAUUUUCCUCAAGGUCACACAGAACAAGUACGUUAUCUUUUAAUUUUCAAUUUUUUUAUUUUAAAUUUAUUUAAUUUUUUUUUUUUUUUGGGAGUGAAAUUUUAUAAAGACUCGGGUUCUAUAUUAGAAAACUAACCUUGUUAAGAUUAUAUGUUGGAUAAUUAAUGUUACAUCUUUAAUUGAUGUAGGAUAUUACCCUUAAUAAAAUUCUGGCUUUUGGGUUUGGUUAGUUGGAGGCAUCUACAAAUUAGGAACUGAGUCUGAAUCAGAGGAUAACAAUGUUCAGAUUGCCUUCAAAGAUCCUAUGUCGCGUUUCUAUUAUUUAAGAAUUUAGAUUAUUUAGGAUAAUUUGUCUUUCACAAGGGCCAUUGCUCUCUUAGUCAGGAAGUUUAAAACUAUGAAAGUUAAAAAGUGUGGUGGGAAAGGAUUUAAGAAGCUUGGAUUGGGUCAAAUCUCAUAAAGCUAGACAUUAUACAAAGGGUGUUGUUUCGUGCGGGUUAGUCGCUAACAAUUAAAAGGGAUCAGACGAUUGUGUAAGGGACAAACCUCUUGAAACAAAAUCCCAAAAAGGAGCGUUCUUUUAUUGGCGAUGACUUUACAAUUGAAAAUCGAAAACAAAGUGCCUUCAAGGGGCGCAAGCACACGAGUUACUGAAAAAAGUGUUUAAGUCUAAACUAAGGAAAUUAAAAUUACAUGUUCUCUGUUCGAGAGUUUUUGAUUCGGUCCUUUUCUCUAUGUCUUUUCUCCCUUUUAUACUUCAUGGACGAUCUCUUUGUGAUCAACCGCCUAAAAACUGCUUGAUCGUUCUGCAACUACCCACUUUCCUCAUAAUGGCCAGCUUGUCAUGAAAACUGCCUUAUUUAACUGCUGCCAUUACUCUUCGUCGUUCAACCGUUUUCGAUUGAAUUCCUUGAAUCGUAGAACGUGAUGGGGCUGCUUUAAUAACUGCUUUGAUAACUGCACUUCUUGAUAACCACAACGCUUUAUGUUUGUUAAGACUUUGGGCGACUUGAAAGUUUUGACGAGAAUAGAGUAAUAUCUCUGGGCGACUGCAUGGCACUCCAUUCACUCAGAUUCUGGGCGACUUGCAAUCUUGGGCGAUAGCGUUACCACGUUCUUGGACCUCCCUAUUUGGGCCUUCAUCUUGAAUUGUUUGAUUGUGUUUCGUUCUUUGGGCUAUCUGAUUUGGUGAUUCUCCAAUUGGGCUUCAUUCCUUGAGCCGUUCGAUUUGGGCUGAAUUUUUAUGUGUCAACAAUCACCCCCCAAUAUGGCAGAAUUAAUAAUAAUUAAUAAAUUUUGCCAUAUUCACUUUGUGUUUCCAGCAACAUUCGAGAUUUUCAAGAAUUUCAAUCAUUAUUUUCUUCCAUAACUUGAAAAUGUGCGUCGUUUUGCAAACCCUUAUAACCCCCAAACACGCCAUUUCAUUGCACCACUAAAUCACGCCUCAAAUUUUUCGCGUCUCUCCCACGAUUUACUGUUCAUCUUUUGCUUUCCUACUACGUAACCCUGAAAAACUUCGUUCCAUCUCAAAUGGCUACUUCAUAAUCUCAAGCUGGCGACUCCUUUAGUUUUGAUGACUUUCAGAAACUUCUGAGUCGUCCAUACAUAACUCCGAGUUUUCUCGCGUCCGCCGAUGUUGAACGUAAUGAGUUCUACUUAGGUCCUUUCUUCAAUAAUGCAGAGGCAGUUGAACAGGCAGCGGUGGGUCAGCUGUUUCCUUGUACUCAAGGCCCUCCAUUUCUAAACUCUCUGCCGUUGGGGUCACUUUGCGAAAGAGGUAUUCGCACUUGGCCUAAAUCUGAUGUAGCUUUCUGUAGGUUGCAUGCUCGUCUUGUGGGUCAUGGCCCUACUAAGGCACUUUUUGAUAGAGCUAGGAUUUCUGAUUUGUUAGAAAUCUCUUUUCGCCCCCUAUUUUUGAUUCAGCACUCUUUUCGAUUGCUUUGAGUUUUUGGUCUUCCGAGUAUAAUACCUUUAUUUUCCCUCUUGGCCCCAUGUCUAUUACUUUAAGGGAUGUUUGGGCCCUGGUGAAUCUACCACCUUUGGGCGAUAACAUUUUUCCUAGUAUUUUGGUUUCUGGUGGCGCCCUAAAGUUUGGUAAAAACUACACUGAAUCUUAUUCAAGCCUGCAAACCCUUCACAAUCAUUCGAGCGCUGAGCCUUCCCAUACUGAGCGAGUGGCCUUUCUUCUAGUUUGGCUUUGUAAAUAUGUUGUGUAUGCCAAGUAUAAAGCCCUCCCUGAGUUAUUUACCUAUAGCGCACGAAUUAGCGCGUCGCAGGCCUUUGAAUUUAUGUUCUUUCUUUUUAGCUGCCCUUUAUAGAGGCAUGACCUAUCUUCAAGCUCAAUUGAAGAAUGGUGCAUCUCCAACUGGCAGUGGACCUCUUUGGUUCACUCAACUGUGGUUGAGAUCCUAUUUUUCAUUGCUUGGUGCUCCAUCAAUCUCUCGCUCCUCUGCUAGCUGUUAUGGGCUAGCCAUGGAGCCCUUGACUCCUAUAAAUAUGUCCAGAAGGGACAUUUUUUUCAUUCUUUUAUUCUUUGGAUUCAAUCUCUUCUUUUUUUCCUUUUCCUCAUUUUUUGACUCCAAACUAUGUACAUCCCCCCUCCACUAUAGACAGCGCGAGCACCUCCCUGCUCAUUUGGAUCCAAUUUUUAACCGGGAGGGAGCUAUUUCAUGAUAUUUUGACUGGGACCAAUGCCAAGGCAGGGGUAGAAAUUUAUGCUCCCCAAUUUUUUGCUCGCCAGCUUGGUUUCGGCCAAACUUGGCCUAUUCCUCCUUGCUAUUCAAGGAACUUAGUUGACCGUUUUCAUACUAUUAAUAAGGCGGAGGCAGAGGCUAUAAAUGCUCGCAAUCUUCUUUUAACCAGCUAUUUCUCAUUAGCCCCCUUCAAUUCUAGCCACGCCUUUCAUCCUCUUUUUGAACAGCUCUGGCCGUCAGUGAAGCGCAGAUUAUUUGCGACUGAUGCCAAUCGUGCCUUUCAUUCACUAGACCAGCCGAGCAUUUCUUCCCCUCCUCCUGUUUUAGUCACUCCUUUGUCCAUUCGAAGUCCUUCUUCUCCUCGUCGCACUAAACAGUCUGCUCGUCCAUCUUCUUCUCUCCCUGCCAAGCCUACUACAGCCAAGAGUGCCCCAAGCCGCAAACGGCCAGCCUCAGCAUCUCCCAUUCUGGAGGAUGAUGUUGAUGAUGAUGAUGAUGCCCCUCUUAUCGUCAGGAGGAAGGUAAUUAAAUUGGUUAACUCACAAGCAUACUUUUCCAUACUAGAAACUUUUCUGUGUGCUGAUAAUCUUUUGGACUUCUCAGAAAAGCUCAGCCUCUCCUUCAAAGGCUUUGGCAUCGACAACUCCUGCUCCAUCAUCCUCCACUGAGGCUGCUUCAUCCAAACCGGUUGAUGAGGGGACUACGCUUAAAGAGACUCUUCAGUCCCAGAGUCCUCAUCACAACCUAUGGAUGAGCCACCUUCUUCCCAGUGCGUCAACCCCCCAAACAUCGAAGCAAAAGGUAAUUCAGUUUUUUGAUGCCUUACCUUUGCUUGUGCUAUUGGUUUCUGAUUUGUUGCUCUUGAGUUUUGCAGAUACUCCUAUAAGUCUGCCCGUUGUGGCAACAUCUUCUCGCUCAGAUAAGGGGAAGUCCUCAUGAAUGGAGGAGUCGUUGGUGGCAGACUUGGCUGAGGACAUGCCAUCUUCCACGAUUGUUGAUGAGGUAAUCUUUGCUUCACUUUUAUUUCUAUCUUGUUCGUUGUAGUGAGAAUCUUUAAUAUUGGCAAUUUUCUUUGCAGGAUGCUGACAAGAUUGUGCGUUCUAUCCAAGACUUGUUCGCUUCCUGGGGGCAAGUCAAGACGUCUCGCCCUGCUCCAUCUGAU